rnacentral:rRNA from 1 species
GACGAACGCUGGCGGCGUGCCUAAUACAUGCAAGUCGAGCGGAACUUAGAAAGCUUGCUUUCUAAGUUUAGCGGCGGACGGGUGAGUAACACGUGGGCAACCUGCCUAUAAGACUGGGAUAACUUCGGGAAACCGGAGCUAAUACUGGAUAAUAUAAAAGAUCACAUGGUCUUUUAUUGAAAGAUGGCUUCGGCUAUCACUUAUAGAUGGGCCCGCGGCGCAUUAGCUAGUUGGUAGGGUAAUGGCCUGCCAAGGUUAUGAUGGGUAGCCGGCUUGAGAGGGUGUACGGCCACACUGGGACUGAGACACGGCCCAGACUCCAACGGGAGGCAGCAGUAGGGAAUCUUCCGCAAUGGACGAAAGUCUGACGGGGCAACGCCGCGUGAGCGAUGAAGGCCCUCGGGUCGUAAAGCUCUGUUGUUAGGGAAGAACAAGUAUCGUUCGAAUAGGGCGGUACCUUGACGGUACCUAACCAGAAAGCCACGGCUAACUACGUG